AGAGUUUGAUCCUGGCUCAGAUUGAACGCUGGCGGCGUGCCUAACACAUGCAAGUCGAGCGGUAACAGGUGUAGCAAUACAUGCUGACGAGCGGCGAACGGAUGAGUAAUGCUUCGGAAUCUACCCAGUAGUGGGGAAUAACUAACCGAAAGGUUAGCUAAUACCGCAUACGUCCUACGGGAGAAAGCGGGGGUCGCAAGACCUCGCGCUAUUGGAUGAGCCGAAGUCGGAUUAGCUAGUUGGUGAGGUAACGGCUCACCAAGGCGACGAUCCGUAGCUGGUCUGAGAGGACGACCAGCCACACUGGAACUGAGACAUGGUCCAGACUCCUACGGGAGGCAGCAGUGGGGAAUAUUGGACAAUGGGGGAAACCCUGAUCCAGCGACGCCGCGUGUGUGAAGAAGGCCUGCGGGUUGUAAAGCACUUUUAGUGGGGAUGAAAAGUUCAGGGCUAAUACCUCUGGGCAUUGACCUAACCCACAGAAAAAGCACCGGCUAACUCUGUGCCAGCAGCCGCGGUAAUACAGAGGGUGCAAGCGUUAAUCGGAAUUACUGGGCGUAAAGCGUGCGUAGGCGGUUUCGUAAGUCGGGUGUGAAAGCCCCGGGCUCAACCUGGGAAUUGCAUUCGAGACUGCGAAGCUAGGGUGCGGAAGAGGGAAGCGGAAUUUCCGGUGUAGCGGUGAAAUGCGUAGAUAUCGGAAGGAACAUCAGUGGCGAAAGCGGCUUCCUGGUCCAGCGCCGACGCUCAGGCACGAAAGCGUGGGGAGCAAACAGGAUUAGAUACCCUCGUAGUCC
rnacentral:rRNA from 1 species